rnacentral:rRNA from 1 species
UAGAGUUUGAUCCUGGCUCAGAAUGAACGCUGGCGGUAGGCUUAACACAUGCAAGUCGGACGGUAGCAGGAGAAAAGCUUGCUUUUCUUGCUGACGAGUGGCGGACGGGUGAGUAACGCGUGGGAAUCUACCCUAUAGUUGGGGACAACAUGUGGAAACGCAUGCUAAUACCGAAUAUGCUCUACGGAGUAAAGCGGGGGACCUUCGGGCCUCGCGCUAUAGGAUGAGCCCGCGUAGGAUUAGCUAGUUGGUGAGGUAAUGGCUCACCAAGGCGACGAUCCUUAGCUGGUUUGAGAGGAUGAUCAGCCACACUGGGACUGAGACACGGCCCAGACUCCUACGGGAGGCAGCAGUGGGGAAUAUUGCACAAUGAGCGAAAGCUUGAUGCAGCCAUACCGCGUGUGUGAAGAAGGCCCGAGGGUUGUAAAGCACUUUCAGUUGGGAGGAAGGAUAGUAACUUAAUACGUUGCUAUUUUGACGUUACCUUCAGAGGAAGCACCGGCUAACUCUGUGCCAGCAGCCGCGGUAAUACAGAGGGUGCAAGCGUUAUUCGGAAUUACUGGGCGUAAAGCGCGCGUAGGUGGACCGUUAAGUCAGUUGUGAAAGCCCUGGGCUCAACCUAGGAACUGCAUCUGAUACUGGCGAUCUAGAGUCUAGUAGAGGGAAGGGGAAUUCCAGGUGUAGCAGUGAAAUGCGUAGAUAUCUGGAGGAACAUCAGUGGCGAAGGCGCCUUCCUGGACUAAGACUGACGCUGAGGCGCGAAAGCGUGGGUAGCGAACGGGAUUAGAUACCCCGGUAGUCCACGCCGUAAACGAUGUCAACUAGUUGUUGGUCUUAUUAAAAAGAUUAGUAACGAAGCUAACGCGAUAAGUUGACCGCCUGGGGAGUACGGU